AGGAUAAUAGUUUAAAAAAAACAUUUAAAUUGCAUUUAAAAAUUAUUGGUACUAAGAUUUAUCUUA
rnacentral:tRNA from 1 species